rfam:Lottia gigantea unplaced genomic scaffold LOTGIsca_80, whole genome shotgun sequence.
GUCUACGGCCAUACCACGUUGAAAGCACCAGUUCUCGUCCGAUCACUGAAGUUAAGCAACGUCGGGCUCGGUUAGUACUUGGAUGGGUGACCGCCCGGAAACACCGAGUGCUGUAGACU